rnacentral:lncRNA from 1 species
GGAGAUUGGACAGAAUUGUUUAAGGGCAAACAAACUCAUGCAUGUGAGGUAGAUGGUGUUGAGACAAUUAUGCAAUCGCAUCAUUGGUUUGGAAUGUACUCAGGAUGACUGUUUUCUUUUUACAGAUGCUUCAGCUCCUGGGGAACAGCCACAUGUUUUCCAACCAAUAGCUACUGAAGCCGUCCCAGAUCCAGCAGAAACAACUCCUACAGUCGCAUCAGCCUCAGAAGAGACCACUUCGCCUGGUAAUUUUAUUUUCAUUCUUGCUUUAGACAAGUCACAGAUGGCUGGAUGGCUUUGCAUAUGGUUAGGGUUAAAGUUUAUACAUCACCAGAAACUAAAUAUCAAGCUCACAUCAAACUAACACAAGGUGCUCACACAUUCACUGAAUGCUUAGUAACUGGGGCAGGUAGUGCUCGCAUCCCUUCCUUAUGGAGGACACUGUGAUGCCCACCGUGCGCUCUUGACCAUUGGUGCACCUGCAGAUCUCUGAAAUCAAGUUAUAGUGACAUAAGCCUCCCUCAGAGUCACACGUUUGGGAAUUCAAUGAGUUCAUUCUUUUAACAGCGCAGGACUUCAGGCAUCAUGGGCAAAGCUAUCCCUGUAAUCUGCAUUGUCAGAAAAUAAUAGAGUACCGCAUCUCUGUGUGUGCUUCACAAUACAGUACACCACCCCGGUCAUGUGCAAAUUUUUAAAAAUAAUUUGCGUGACUAAAUAAGUUGGGGAAAUACCACAUCCCUCCCUUGAAGAUUCACAGUCUGUUAGCCCAUUAAAGUCUCAACAAACCCUAUAGUAAAGUGUCUUUUUUUUUUUUUUUUAACACUUGGCUGGACCCAAUACUUCUCAAAUUUCUUUGACCACUGAAACCUUUGGAGUAGAAAUGCAGCAUCACAGAAUUUGGAGCCCAAGAAUCUUGGCUUAUGUUCUGACUCUAGCCCUAACCAACUGGGCGAUAGUGAGCAAGUCCCCUUAACUUCCAGAGCCUCCUUUCUUCCUUACUCUGGAGAACAGGAGGAGGAAGCUUGUCCUGGACGGCAUACACUGGUGCAAGAACACAGUGGUGGGAACUUGGUAGUCACACUACUAAGCAUGUGUGCACUACCAUCUGCUGAGUCUGACCUGGCUCUCUAAUUUAAGCAGCACAUGUGGCUUUAUAAACUUCCCUCUUGGGGGCCCUGAGGAUCAUUUUAGGGCUUGAGUUAAUCAAUAUAUGACUAAGUAAGUUGGAGAAACACCGUCUCAAAACAAAUAAAUUCAAGUCAAAUUUUCUCUAAAGGUAAACAGUUGUGACAAUAGCUCCUGGUACAUAUUUCCAAAAUUUCAGAGCCCUCUGCUAGGCUUGGGAGAAACUGAUCUCUAAGAAAAUCAGACAAUGAAAUC